GCCUCCUGAGUUGCUGGCAUUAUAGGUCCAUGCUACCUGAAGAUGGACUGGACGGGCUCUUCCCUCCCAGUGAGUGCCCAUAUGUAGAGGCACAGGGCUGGGCUCUGGAAUCCAACAGGGAAAUGUCACCAGACAAGAAGAAUCUUUGAGAGGGACCAGAAGAAGGACCGGGGGGGGGGGAGGGGGAGGGGCGGCGCCUGCGCGCACACCACAGGACCCGACAGGGUGGGGCAGAAUCCUGCAGCAGUCUUGUGGCUUGUCUCUGCUCUGUGAAACAGGGCACACACGAACCUUGGGUAUAGCUGGAGAAAGGACCUUGAUCCUCAGCUGAAGAAAUUGCACUGAACCAGUGAGAUGGGGGCUGUGUCCCCAGACAUUGCCCCCACUCUUGACAAAUAGAGCACCCAAAGAAUGGGUGCCUUCCAUGUGGAUAUUAAGUCCCCUGAAAAGCUUCUUGGAGGACAUCAGAUUUAAAUGAAUAGAAGAGGGCCCCUGAAUGGCUGAGUGAAGAGGAGGGGGCCGCAGGGCAGUUCAAGCC
rnacentral:lncRNA from 1 species